rnacentral:rRNA from 1 species
UAGGGAAUCUUCGGCAAUGGACGAAAGUCUGACCGAGCAACGCCGCGUGAGUGAAGAAGGUUUUCGGAUCGUAAAACUCUGUUGUUAGAGAAGAACAAGGACGUUAGUAACUGAACGUCCCCUGACGGUAUCUAACCAGAAAGCCACGGCUAACUACGUGCCAGCAGCCGCGGUAAUACGUAGGUGGCAAGCGUUGUCCGGAUUUAUUGGGCGUAAAGCGAGCGCAGGCGGUUUCUUAAGUCUGAUGUGAAAGCCCCCGGCUCAACCGGGGAGGGUCAUUGGAAACAGGGAGACUUGAGUGCAGAAGAGGAGAGUGGAAUUCCAGGUGUAGCGGUGAAAUGCGUAGAUAUAUGGAGGAACACCAGUGGCGAAGGCGGCUCUCUGGUCUGUAACUGACGCUGAGGCUCGAAAGCGUGGGGAGCAAACAGG